UUCACCAUGUUGCCCAGGCUGGUCUUGAAAUCCUGACCUCAGGCAAUCUGUCUGCCUCAGCCUCCCAAAGUGCUGAGUUUACAGGCAUGAGCCACCAUACAAGACGACUGCAAAUCCUUUACUAUUAGUUGAGUUUUAUGGCAAAACUUUCCCAUAACUUUGCUGAUAGUACUAUUGCAUUAUUGAAUUUUAAAUCUUGGCCAAUCUUCAUAUUUCUUCUUUUGAUGGAUAUUUUAAAAAACAAGAGCGAGGCUGAACAUCUCGAUGUUAUUUGCUUUCUUUUUACGGAGCUGGAUUUCUUACUAUUUUUGCUCUUUUUCUUUGGAUUCUUGAAAAGCAUUUACUUUUAAGAAUGUGUAUUAAAAUUAAUUUUUUUCUGUCCUAUGUUGCAAGAUAUUGCCUCUUAAUUUUUGGAGGGCACUUUGGAUUAAUUUCUAUGAAGUUAAAUUGGUCCACAUUUUUCUUUCAGAACUGUAAAAUCCAUGCAUUUCCCAGGAUUUUGUUUGGGGGACGUGGGGACUCCUUCACCAAAUGUGAAGUUUUUACUUACUCUCAUGUCUCUUUCUGAGCUCUCCCUUCUGCUCCAUGGGUCUAUUUUCUUGUUUUUGCAAUAUUGCCACACUGUUUUUAUCAUUCCUGUGACUUUGUAGCAAUUCUUUUAAAAAGUUAAAAAGAAAAGAAAAGAAAAGGUCUCACUUGCACACAGAGAAGCUGUAGAAUUGUGUUUUUGCUCCCUCGAUAAUGACUGGGGCUGGGGUGUUUCCUUAGGGAUGACCUGGCGCAGCUGCCCUUCCUGACCAGGUGCGUGAAGGAGAGCCUGCGGUUACAUCCCCCAGUCCCUGCCGUCUCCCGCCGCUGCACCCAAGACAUUGCUCUCCCAGACGGCCGGGUCAUCCCCAAAGGCGUUAUCUGCCUCAUCAGUGUUUUCGGAACCCAUCACAACCCAGCUGUGUGGCCGGACCCCGAGGUCUACGACCCCUUCCGCUUCGACCCGGAGAACAGCAAGGAGAGGUCACCUCUGGCUUUUAUUCCCUUCUCGGCAGGGCCCAGGUAAGG